rnacentral:rRNA from 1 species
GACGUAGGAUGCAAGCGUUGUCCGGAAUUAUUGGGCGUAAAGAGUUCGUAGGCGGUUGCCUAAGUCUGAUGUUAAAUACUGGAGCUCAACUCCGGCAUGGCAUUGGAAACUGGGCGGCUAGAGUGUGGUAGAGUCUCGGGAAUUCAGGUGUAGCGGUGAAAUGCGUAGAUAUCUGGAGGAACACCGGUGGCGAAAGCGCGAGACUGGCCACACUGACGCUCAUGCACGAAAGCGUGGGGAGCAAACA